GUUAUAUGGUCAAGUGAAGAAGCGCAUACGGUGGAUGCCUUGGCAGUCAGAGGCGAUGAAAGACGUGGUAGCCUGCGAAAAGCUUCGGGGAGUCGGCAAACAGACUUUGAUCCGGAGAUGUCUGAAUGGGGGAACCCAGCCAUCAUAAGAUGGUUAUCUUGUACUGAAUACAUAGGUGCAAGANGCGAACCAGGGGAACUGAAACAUCUAAGUACCCUGAGGAAAAGAAAUCAACCGAGAUUCCCUUAGUAGUGGCGAGCGAACGGGGACUAGCCCUUAAGUGGCUUUGAGAUUAGCGGAACGCUCUGGAAAGUGCGGCCAUAGUGGGUGAUAGCCCUGUACGCGAAAAUCUCUUAGUCAUGAAAUCGAGUAGGACGGAGCACGAGAAACUUUGUCUGAAUAUGGGGGGACCAUCCUCCAAGGCUAAAUACUACUGACUGACCGAUAGUGAACUAGUACCGUGAGGGAAAGGCGAAAAGAACCCCGGAGAGGGGAGUGAAAUAGAUCCUGAAACCGUAUGCGUACAAGCAGUGGGAGCAGACUUUGUUCUGUGACUGCGUACCUUUUGUAUAAUGGGUCAGCGACUUAUUUUCAGUGGCGAGCUUAACCGAAUAGGGGAGGCGUAGCGAAAGCGAGUCUUAAUAGGGCGUCUAGUCGCUGGGAAUAGACCCGAAACCGGGCGAUCUAUCCAUGGGCAGGUUGAAGGUUGGGUAACACUAACUGGAGGACCGAACCGACUACCGUUGAAAAGUUAGCGGAUGACCUGUGGAUCGGAGUGAAAGGCUAAUCAAGCUCGGAGAUAGCUGGUUCUCCUCGAAAGCUAUUUAGGUAGCGCCUCAUGUAUCACUGUAGGGGGUAGAGCACUGUUUCGGCUAGGGGGUCAUCCCGACUUACCAAACCGAUGCAAACUCCGAAUACCUACAAGUGCCGAGCAUGGGAGACACACGGCGGGUGCUAACGUCCGUCGUGAAAAGGGAAACAACCCAGACCGUCAGCUAAGGUCCCAAAGUUAUGGUUAAGUGGGAAACGAUGUGGGAAGGCUUAGACAGCUAGGAGGUUGGCUUAGAAGCAGCCACCCUUUAAAGAAAGCGUAAUAGCUCACUAGUCGAGUCGGCCUGCGCGGAAGAUGUAACGGGGCUCAAACCAUACACCGAAGCUACGGGUAUCACGUAAGUGAUGCGGUAGAGGAGCGUUCUGUAAGCCUGUGAAGGUGAGUUGAGAAGCUUGCUGGAGGUAUCAGAAGUGCGAAUGCUGACAUGAGUAACGACAAUGGGUGUGAAAAACACCCACGCCGAAAGACCAAGGUUUCCUGCGCAACGUUAAUCGACGCAGGGUUAGUCGGUCCCUAAGGCGAGGCUGAAAAGCGUAGUCGAUGGAAAACAGGUUAAUAUUCCUGUACUUCUGGUUAUUGCGAUGGAGGGACGGAGAAGGCUAGGCCAGCUUGGCGUUGGUUGUCCAAGUUUAAGGUGGUAGGCUGGAAUCUUAGGUAAAUCCGGGAUUCUAAGGCCGAGAGCUGAUGACGAGUCAUCUUNUAGAUGACGAAGUGGUUGAUGCCAUGCUUCCAAGAAAAGCUUCUAAGCUUCAGGUAACCAGGAACCGUACCCCAAACCGACACAGGUGGUUGGGUAGAGAAUACCAAGGCGCUUGAGAGAACUCGGGUGAAGGAACUAGGCAAAAUGGCACCGUAACUUCGGGAGAAGGUGCGCCGGUGAGGGUGAAGGACUUGCUCCGUAAGCCCAUGCCGGUCGAAGAUACCAGGCCGCUGCGACUGUUUAUUAAAAACACAGCACUCUGCAAACACGAAAGUGGACGUAUAGGGUGUGACGCCUGCCCGGUGCCGGAAGGUUAAUUGAUGGGGUUAGCUAACGCGAAGCUCUUGAUCGAAGCCCCGGUAAACGGCGGCCGUAACUAUAACGGUCCUAAGGUAGCGAAAUUCCUUGUCGGGUAAGUUCCGACCUGCACGAAUGGCGUAACGAUGGCGGCGCUGUCUCCACCCGAGACUCAGUGAAAUUGAAAUCGCUGUGAAGAUGCAGUGUAUCCGCGGCUAGACGGAAAGACCCCGUGAACCUUUACUAUAGCUUUGCACUGGACUUUGAAUUUGCUUGUGUAGGAUAGGUGGGAGGCUUUGAAGCGUGGACGCCAGUCUGCGUGGAGCCAUCCUUGAAAUACCACCCUGGCAACUUUGAGGUUCUAACUCAGGUCCGUUAUCCGGAUCGAGGACAGUGUAUGGUGGGUAGUUUGACUGGGGCGGUCUCCUCCUAAAGAGUAACGGAGGAGUACGAAGGUGCGCUCAGACCGGUCGGAAAUCGGUCGUAGAGUAUAAAGGCAAAAGCGCGCUUGACUGCGAGACAGACACGUCGAGCAGGUACGAAAGUAGGUCUUAGUGAUCCGGUGGUUCUGUAUGGAAGGGCCAUCGCUCAACGGAUAAAAGGUACUCCGGGGAUAACAGGCUGAUACCGCCCAAGAGUUCAUAUCGACGGCGGUGUUUGGCACCUCGAUGUCGGCUCAUCACAUCCUGGGGCUGAAGCCGGUCCCAAGGGUAUGGCUGUUCGCCAUUUAAAGUGGUACGCGAGCUGGGUUUAGAACGUCGUGAGACAGUUCGGUCCCUAUCUGCCGUGGACGUUUGAGAUUUGAGAGGGGCUGCUCCUAGUACGAGAGGACCGGAGUGGACGAACCUCUGGUGUUCCGGUUGUCACGCCAGUGGCAUUGCCGGGUAGCUAUGUUCGGAAUAGAUAACCGCUGAAAGCAUCUAAGCGGGAAACUAGCCUCAAGAUGAGAUCUCACUGGAACCUUGAGUUCCCUGAAGGGCCGUCGAAGACUACGACGUUGAUAGGUUGGGUGUGUAAGCGCUGUGAGGCGUUGAGCUAACCAAUACUAAUUGCCCGUGAGGCUUGACCAUAUAACACCCAAGCAAUU
rnacentral:rRNA from 1 species